GCGACUCCGCUUCUGGGCCCCAGGGCAGCAGCGCGGAGCCUCCGGACAACCUACUGACCACCCAUGUGCUGGACACCGCCUCAGGGCUCCCAGCCAGAGGCCUCUGCCUCCGCUUGUACUGGCUGGAGGACCACAGCCAGCAGUGGGCGGAGCUGAGGACAAGCUACACAGACCCAGAUGGCCGCUGUCCUGGACUCCUGACGCCGGACCAGAUGAAGGCAGGCACCUACAAGCUCACCUUCGACACUGAGGGCUACUGGAGGAAGAGGGGGCAGGAAAGCUUCUACCCACAUGUGGAGGUGAGAGCCCCAGUGGGCUGGAGGGGGCUGAGGCUCAUGACUCACUGGGAUCUGCAGGCCAGGUCCUGCUGGCCGGGCAUCAUUUAGGCAGUGGGCAGACUGGUCCUGGGCGGUGGCAGGUAGGUGAGCUCACUUGCUUUGAGCUCCCAAAAGAAAGGUGUCCAGGCAGCAACAGACUCUAUGAGGACACACCCGUCACUCACCUGCCCAGGGUCAGGCUUUGUGGGGAGGCUGGGCCAAGGGUGAUUCAUCCCCUCUUUGUUGACAGAGGUUUUCAUCUGAGCCAACUCCAGCUCUCUGGGCCUAACCUCACUGCCUCACCCCACACUGGAGCCGCCGCAGAAGCGCCUGACUUACUGGGCUGUGGCUUCUGUGGAGUGUCCCUCUGGUGCGGAAGGUUCACCCCAUCCCAGACCCUCAGUCUGGGCUGCUGAAUUCUCUCAGGUGUGUUGGGGCCAGAUAGGUGGUUUGCUG
rnacentral:lncRNA from 1 species